GCUAAGAAUCUUCCGCAAUGGGGGAAACCCUGACGGAGCGACGCCGCGUGGACGAUGAAGGCCGUAAGGUUGUAAAGUCCUUUUGCGGGCGAAGAAUAACCCGGGGAGUGGAAAGCCUCGGGGAUGACGUUAGCCCGCGAAUAAGCCCCGGCCAAUUACGUGCCAGCAGCCGCGGUAAUACGUAUGGGGCGAGCGUUGUUCGGAGUUAUUGGGCGUAAAGGGCGUGUAGGCGGCCCGACAAGUCUGGUGUGAAAUCGCAGGGCUCAACCCUGCGGGUGCGCUGGAAACUGUCGGGCUGGAGUCCCGAGGGGGAAGCUGGAAUUCCUGGUGUAGGAGUGAAAUCUGUAGAGAUCAGGAAGAACACCGGUGGCGAAGGCGAGCUUCUAUUCGAGGACUGACGCUGAGGCGCGAAAGCGUGGGGAGCAAACAGGAUUAGAAACCCUAGUAGUCC
rnacentral:rRNA from 1 species